rnacentral:misc_RNA from 1 species
GUGAGUCAUCGAAUCUUUGAACGCACAUUGCGCCCGCCGGUAUCCCGGCGGGCAUGCCUGUUCGAGCGUCAUUUCAACCCUCAGGCUCCGCCUGGUGUUGGGGCUCCUGCGCACUGCAGGCCCUCAAAGGCAGCGGCGGGUGCGCCUACGAACCGAACGCAGUAGUUUUCUCUCGUUCUGGUCGCGCGGGCGUGCUCCGGCCGGUAAACCCCUUUAUUUUACCAUGGUUGACCUCGGAUCAGGUAGGAAUACCCGCUGAACUUAAGCAUAUCAAUAAGCGGAGGA